UAUCUCUGUAGAGUCUGCAUAUCAAUAAGCGGAGGAAAAGAAACUAACUAGGAUUCCCUCAGUAACGGCGAGUGAAGCGGGAAGAGCUCAAAUUUGAAAUCUUCAAGGUUUUACCUUGACGAAUUGUAGUUUAAAGAAGUGUUUUCUGUUGGAUGUUUUGGUAAAAGUUCUUUGGAAUAGGACAUCAUAGAGGGUGAGAAUCCCGUAUUUGACCAUUACUUCCAGCGUUGUGAUACACUUUCAAAGAGUCGGAUUGUUUGGGAAUGCAGUCCAAGAUGGGUGGUAAAUUUCAUCUAAAGCUAAAUAUUGGCGAGAGACCGAUAGCGAACAAGUACCGUGAGGGAAAGAUGAAAAGAACUUUGAAAAGAGAGUUAAACAGUACGUGAAAUUGUCAAAAGGGAAGCGUUUGACACCAGUGUUGUUUUUCCGAAAAUCAAUUACGAAUGGCUUGAUUUUGUGUUGUAUUGACCUUAUCAGCUUUCUUCACUUUUUUCGAGUCUUUCUUAAUGCACUUUUCGGUUAACAAGUCAACAUCAAUUUCUUUUGUUGUAAAAGAGUAUUCGGAAGGUGGCUUUCUUUUCGGAGAAAGUGUUUAUAGCCCUAUACUUCUACAAUCGGAGAGAUUGAGGUCUGCAGCGUAGAUCCUUCGGGGUUAGAUACACUUGUGCUAAGUUGUAGCUUUUCAUAGACAGCUUGUUGACUAUGUUUAGUCAUGCGGCUUACUCGCUUGUGCUAUUUUACCUACGCUUAGGAUGUUGACGAGACUGUCGAUCUC
rnacentral:rRNA from 1 species